rnacentral:rRNA from 1 species
CAGCAGCCACGGUAAUACGGAGGAUCCGAGCGUUAUCCGGAAUUAUUGGGUUUAAAGGGUGCGUAGGCGGACAGAUAAGUCAGUGGUGAAAGACGGUGGCUCAACCAUCGCAGUGCCGUUGAUACUGUUUGUCUUGAAUAUGGAUGAGGUAGGCGGAAUGUGGCAAGUAGCGGUGAAAUGCAUAGAUAUGCCACAGAACACCGAUUGCGAAGGCAGCUUACCAAGGCAAUAUUGACGCUGAGGCACGGAAGCGUGGGGAUCGAACAGGAUUAGAUACCCGAGUAGUCCCUGUCUCUUAUAC